rnacentral:lncRNA from 1 species
UAAAAAAAUCUUUAAAAAGUUUUAAACCAAAUUGUAAGUAAAUCCUAAUCCUAAUAAAAUUCUAAAUCAAAUCCUAAUCAUAUCCUGGAUCUUAAACAAAUCCUUAAUAAAUUCUAUAAUAAAUGAAACUUCAACAAAAAAUAAUUGAACCAUUGAUAUCAACUCAAAAUUUGCACACUUCUUAAUGUCUUAGUUAGAAAUAAGCAUAAGAAAGAUGAAUUCAAUUACACUUAUUAAUUGAAAGAAAUACAAGAUAAUCCAAUUGAGUAUUAGGUGGCUCCUAUUCCAAUCUGAAUGUUGAACUUCUAAUACUAAUAUUUCUUUCUUGAAUUAUUGAAUUACUUCCAAAUUUAAUCUAAAUUUUUGAAAAUUGAAUCUAAUAUCCAUACAAAAAAAUUCACUUCAAUCCAAUUGAUAGAUUGCUAAGAUCUUAGAAAUACUCAUUAAUCCUUAAACUCCAAUUCUAAGACCUUAAUACACAAAAACCUUUACUCACUUUGAUGUAAUCAUUUGAUUGACCUCAAAAAUUUUACACACAUUCACAACUAGUACACCAGCACAUUAUCCAAAAUUUACUUAACACAAAACACAAAACUUAAGA